rnacentral:rRNA from 1 species
UACGUAGGGGGCAAGCGUUGUCCGGAUUUAUUGGGCGUAAAGAGCGUGUAGGCGGCCAUACAGGUCAGCUGUGAAAACUCGAGGCUCAACCUCGAGACGUCGGUUGAAACCGUUUGGCUAGAGUCCGGAAGAGGAGAGUGGAAUUCCCGGUGUAGCGGUGAAAUGCGCAGAUAUCGGGAAGAACACCCGUGGCGAAGGCGGCGAGCUGGUCCAUUACUGACGCUGAGGCGCGACAGCGUGGGGAGCAAACAGG